rnacentral:rRNA from 1 species
CGGCAGGCUUAACACAUGCAAGUCGAGGGGCAGCGAGUAGAUUGCUUGCAAUCCAUGUCGGCGACCGGCGCACGGGUGCGUAACGCGUAUGCAACCUACCCAUUACAGGGGGAUAACACUGAGAAAUCGGUACUAAUACCCCAUAACAUCCAGGGAGGCAUCUUCUUGGGUUGAAAACUCCGGUGGUAAUGGAUGGGCAUGCGUUGUAUUAGUUAGUUGGUGGGGUAACGGCUCACCAAGACAACGAUACAUAGGGGGACUGAGAGGUUAACCCCCCACAUUGGUACUGAGACACGGACCAAACUCCUACGGGAGGCGGCAGUGAGGAAUAUUGGUCAAUGGACGCAAGUCUGAACCAGCCAUGCCGCGUGCAGGAAGACGGCUCUAUGAGUUGUAAACUGCUUUUGUACGAGGGUAAACGCAGAUACGUGUAUCUGUCUGAAAGUAUCGUACGAAUAAGGAUCGGCUAACUCCGUGCCAGCAGCCGCGGUAAUACGGAGGAUUCAAGCGUUAUCCGGAUUUAUUGGGUUUAAAGGGUGCGUAGGCGGUCGGAUAAGUUAGAGGUGAAAUCCCGAGGCUCAACUUCGGAAUUGCCUCUGAUACUGUUCGGCUAGAGAGUAGUUGCGGUAGGCGGAAUGUAUGGUGUAGCGGUGAAAUGCUUAGAGAUCAUACAGAACACCGAUUGCGAAGGCAGCUUACCAAGCUACUUCUGACGUUGAGGCACGAAAGCGUGGGGAGCAAACAGGAUUAGAUACCCUGGUAGUCCACGCAGUAAACGAUGAUAACUCGUUGUCGGCGAUACAAUGUCGGUGACUAAGCGAAAGCGAUAAGUUAUCCACCUGGGGAGUACGUUCGCAAGAAUGAAACUCAAAGGAAUUGACGGGGGCCCGCACAAGCGGAGGAACAUGUGGUUUAAUUCGAUGAUACGCGAGGAACCUUACCCGGGCUUGAAAGUUAGUGACAGAUCUGGAAACAGGUCUUCCCUUCGGGGCACGAAACUAGGUGCUGCAUGGUUGUCGUCAGCUCGUGCCGUGAGGUGUCGGGUUAAGUCCCAUAACGAGCGCAACCCCUACCGUCAGUUGCCAGCAGGUCAAGCUGGGCACUCUGGCGGGACUGCCGGUGUAAGCCGAGAGGAAGGUGGGGAUGACGUCAAAUCAGCACGGCCCUUACGUCCGGGGCUACACACGUGUUACAAUGGCAGGUACAGAGGGCAGCUACCCAGCGAUGGGAUGCGAAUCUCGAAAGCCUGUCUCAGUUCGGAUUGGAGGCUGAAACCCGCCUCCAUGAAGUUGGAUUCGCUAGUAAUCGCGCAUCAGCCAUGGCGCGGUGAAUACGUUCCCGGGCC